CCUACGGGAGGCUGCAGUAGGGAAUAUUGCUCAAUGGGGGGAACCCUGAAGCAGCAACGCCGCGUGGAGGAUGAAGGUUUUAGGAUUGUAAACUCCUUUUGUCAGCGAAGAUUAUGACGGUAUCUAACCAAUAAGCACCGGCUAACUCCGUGCCAGCAGCCGCGGUAAUACGGAGGGUGCAAGCGUUACUCGGAAUCACUGGGCGUAAAGCGUGCGUAGGCGGGGUAAUAAGUCAGAUGUGAAAGCCUGUAGCUUAACUACAAAACUGCAUUUGAAACUGUUACUCUGGAGUGGUGGAGAGGUAGGUGGAAUUCUUGGUGUAGGGGUGAAAUGCGUAGAUAUCAAGAGGAAUACUCAUUGCGAAGGCGACCUGCUGGAACAUUACUGACGCUGAGGCACGAAAGCGUGGGGAGCAAACAGGAUUAGAUACCCCAGUAGUC
rnacentral:rRNA from 1 species